rnacentral:rRNA from 1 species
CUAGGUAUAGCAAUCUAUACGGUGAACUGCGAAUGGCUCAUUAAAUCAGUUAUCGUUUAUUUGAUAGUACCUUACUACUUGGAUAACCGUGGUAAUUCUAGAGCUAAUACAUGCUAAAAACCCCGACUUACGAAGGGGUGUAUUUAUUAGAUAAAAAACCAAUGCCCUUCGGGGCUCCUUGGUGAUUCAUAAUAACUUAACGAAUCGCAUGGCCUUGUGCCGGCGAUGGUUCAUUCAAAUUUCUGCCCUAUCAACUUUCGAUGGUAGAGUAGUGGUCUACCAUGGUUUCAACGGGUAACGGGGAAUUAGGGUUCUAUUCCGGAGAGGGAGCCUGAGAAACGGCUACCACAUCCAAGGAAGGCAGCAGGCGCGCAAAUUACCCAAUCCCGACACGGGGAGGUAGUGACAAUAAAUACUGAUACAGGGCUCUUUUGGGUCUUGUAAUUGGAAUGAGUACAAUUUAAAUCCCUUAACGAGGAACAAUUGGAGGGCAAGUCUGGUGCCAGCAGCCGCGGUAAUUCCAGCUCCAAUAGCGUAUAUUAAAGUUGUUGCAGUUAAAAAGCUCGUAGUUGAACCUUGGGCCUGGCUGGCCGGUCCGCCUCACCGCGUGCACUGGUCCGGCCGGGUCUUUCCUCCUGGGGAGCUGCAUGCCCUUCACUGGGUGUGUCAGGGAACCAGGACUUUUACUUUGAAAAAAUUAGAGUGUUCAAAGCAGGCCUAUGCUCGAAUACAUUAGCAUGGAAUAAUAGAAUAGGACGUGUGGUUCUAUUUUGUUGGUUUCUAGGACCGCCGUAAUGAUUAAUAGGGAUAGUCGGGGGCAUCAGUAUUCAAUUGUCAGAGGUGAAAUUCUUGGAUUUAUUGAAGACUAACUACUG